GAACGCCUGGGUUGGAACCUGCCGCGCUUCCAGAGCGCCGCGACUGGCGAUACCUGGACGCUGCUGGUGGCGGUCGC
rnacentral:tRNA from 1 species